UUUUGGACAAUGGGGGCAACCCUGAUCCAGCAAUGCCGCGUGAGUGAAGAAGGCCUUCGGGUUGUAAAGCUCUUUUGUCAGGGAAGAAACAGCAGCUCUAACACAGUCUGCGAAUGACGGUACCUGAAGAAUAAGCACCGGCUAACUACGUGCCAGCAGCCGCGGUAAUACGUAGGGUGCGAGCGUUAAUCGGAAUUACUGGGCGUAAAGCGUGCGCAGGCGGUUAUACAAGACAGGCGUGAAAUCCCCGGGCUUAACCUGGGAAUGGCGCCUGUGACUGUAUAGCUAGAGUGUGUCAGAGGGGGGUAGAGUUCCACGUGUAGCAGUGAAAUGCGUAGAUAUGUGGAGGAAUACCAAUGGCGAAGGCAGCCCCCUGGGAUAACACUGACGCUCAUGCACGAA
rnacentral:rRNA from 1 species